rnacentral:lncRNA from 11 species
CUACUGUAACAAUGACAUAACACAAAAAUUAUGAUUUUAAAAAAAACUUAGUUUGAAUAUAUUGAAUCGUUGUAACUUUGUUAAGACCAUAUCUCUAUGGUUAAAAUAUGACGUUAAAAUUCAUUGAAUGAGCGAUAUAUCGAUAAUCGACGACAACCAUUAGAUAUCGAUAUACGAAACAUAAAAAAUGCAUCGAUUGAAAAUUAAUAUCAUUCGUGUCUUAAAACAUUCAGAACAGGAAGCAUCGUUAAUUAUGAAAUAAUAGAGGGUUGAUUUAAAAGUUAAACGUAUUCAAAUGGUAUUCGAAUCGUAUCUCUAACCUAACCCUAUUAUCUCGUUUUCUGGCGAGUUAUAUAACAAUGUCGAGAGAACAAUGGAUUUGAAAUGCAAAUAAAAACAGAGGUACAUAUCCUUGUACAACAUGGUAGGCCUGCAACAUUUGCUCCAAUACGAUGUGAAAAUUGGGAAGAUUCUGCACACAACAUAGAAAGUAGCAAUUUGGAACUUUUCUGAUGAAAAAUCGAUGACAUUUUUUACAACAAACAUAAAUGGAAAUCGUACAUAAAUCAACGAAUAUCAGAAGAUGAGGAUAUUUGCCAGAAAGGAAAUUGCCCUCGCUUACGUAAUAUACGUAAUACGUAAUUCUCUUAAUUAUUCAUUAAGAUCUCUGCGAUAACACGGAUUCGGAUAACUAGACAUAUUUUUGGAACGUAACCAUAUCGUGUUAUACGAGGAUACCUGUAUUCUGUCUUUGAAACCUUAAAUGCAAAUAUCAUAUUGAGAACGUAUAUUGAAAUAUGUAUAUAAAUGUAUAUUGUCUUUAAAACCUUAAAUGCAAAUGUAUAUAAAUGUAUAAAUUUGUUGGAAUUGAUCAAUUUUGCUUCUGACUAACCUAAUUAAAGAAAUAAAUCAUCUGCCAAAAAAGAUACUCAAAUAUUUUACGCACUAAAUCGCUUUUGAAAGUAUGGAAAGUAAAAUUUCUACAUUCCAUCUAUGAAAGGUUAAAUAGUAAUCUAAAUACAUACUGAUAAAAUUAAAACAUUCUUUAAAAAUUUGCUAGAAUUGAUCAAUUCCGCUUCAAAUUGACUUGAUUAAAUAGAUAAAUGAAUUAUCUAAUUAUACAGACAAUAAAAUUUUCAUAUACUAUAUCGGUUUUGGAAGUAUGAAAAAUAAAAUUCGCGCGCAAUUGAAUCUAAUCGAUAUCUAGAUCAACCCUGCGGCUAUACUAUGAAUAAGUUACGGAUUUUUAUGUAUUCACAUAGGAAAUCUAAAAUUGCACAAAUGUAGAAAAUGCACAUAAUAUGAAUAAAUAUACAAAGUACGUAUACAAAUUAUAAUAAAUUAUAAUUGUAAUAUCCAGUGGAGGAUAGACAUUUUUGCUUAGAUUCCACUUGUUCAAUUUAUAAAAAUACCAAUUUGCAUAAACCUAUACUUGAUGCAACAUAUUAUAUUUCUUGGUCUAUGAAAUUUAUCUUAAUUUAAUGAUUCUUAGAAAAUUGUAAAUCACCGAUGACCCCCGUGGCAACUAUCAUGCUGAUUUAUAAAAAUAUCAAUUUGCAUAAAAAUCUACAGUCUAUAAUUGUGCAAUUCGAUUUUCUACAAAAACGGAACAUCGCAUAACAAAAUUGUAUUCUAUAUUUCUGAUUUAUUUUUUCGUGUAGAACCAAUCCUUUGGCGAUUUUACCAUGAUUACCGGGACACCAUGUAUAAAGUAUACUAAUUCACGCAUCCUUCUUA